ACAAAAACAAGGAUAUAAGGAUCUGCAACGCGUUGUGUUUCAUGUGCAAAAUAUACUACAAUACUAAACAUAUAUAAAUAUAUAUAUAUUUUUGGAAAAAAUUACUAAAAUAAUCUUGUGAAUCGUGUAUAAAAUAUUAGAAAUAUUAUGAGCAGCAAAAUAAGCAAAACAGAAAACAAAACAAAUAUAAUACAUCAGAUAUAAUAAUAACUAUAUACAUCAGAUACGCGAUCAUCAAAUAUACAUAUACAUAUAUAUAUUCUUAUACAUAUUAAUCAACGAUUUUCAAUCAAUCAAUCCAUCAAUCAAGCCAACAAUCAAUCGAGCAUACAUGCAUACAUCUCUAUUUAUAAAUAAAAAUACUUCGAAAAAAACACAAAAACAUACUCAGAAGCUGCUGCGGAGUGGUCGUAUAAACCAUCAAGUAUUAUUAGCACCUAAAAACAAAAACAAAAAAACCAACUUAGACUCGGAAAUCAGCCUCC